rnacentral:rRNA from 1 species
AUCGGAAUUACUGGGCGUAAAGCGUGCGUAGGCGGUUNGUUAAGUCAGAUGUGAAAGCCCCGGGCUCAACCUGGGAACUGCAUUUGAUACUGGUUAACUAGAGUUUAGUAGAGGGGAGUGGAAUUUCAGGUGUAGCGGUGAAAUGCGUAGAUAUCUGAAGGAACACCAGUGGCGAAGGCGACUCCCUGGACUAAAACUGACGCUGAGGUACGAAAGCGUGGGUAGCAAACAGGAUUAGAUACCCUGGUAGUCCACGCCGUAAACGAUGUCAACUAGCCGUUGGGCCUAUUUACAGGAUUAGUGGCGCACCUAACGCAUUAAGUUGACCGCCUGGGGAGUACGGCCGCAAGGUUAAAACUCAAAGGAAUUGACGG